AUGCUGAAGUCGGGAACUUAUGAAAGCAAACAUGAGGAAGCAAUCUACCCAACUAUAACCCUGAAAACAGUGGUUCAGACCCAUCUACCAGGUUAUGGUAAUGACUCUCUUUUUCUCUUUCUUUUAUCACAGCAGCUGCCCCUCACCCCGCCCCCUAGACGCCCCCCUGAUAAAAGGAAAAUCAACACAAUUCUUCAGAGGCUCUUCAGGUUCUCCUGUGUCUUUCGGUCAGCAGUCACAGUCCAUUUGUGGAGGAACGUUGGUGUUACAGCAAUGGUGUUUAAUAAGGAAUUUGAUCUUUACAGAAACUCUUCAUGAACAAGGUUAGACAAUACAAAUCUAAGUGACAGACAUCUGGAGGAUCUGUUGAUACUGAUUCAGAGUACUACCAAUCCAGAGUACCAGCAGGAGCUGGAGAGGAAGCUUUUUAAUCUCAAGCAAGUGUAUGGUAAAGCAGACAUGAAUACAUUCCCUAACUUCAAAUUUGAAGAUCCCAAAUUUGAAGUCAUUGAAAAACCCCAGGCCUGAAGAAAUAAAGUAAAAUUAAUCUAGUAAGUUGUCAAGGGUUAGCUGUACAACUAGCUAGAAGUUUGAGAAUAAACAUACAUUCACAAAUGUCAAAUGUUCUUUUAAUUUUUAUUCCAAAUAAAUUAUUUGGUCAU